rnacentral:lncRNA from 1 species
UCUGCUAAGAUCACAAUUUCCAUGACACAGCCGCUCUCUAAUGGAGCCUGUCAACUCAGAGCCUCAGAGCCCUGCGAAAGUAGGAUCCUGGGCGUUAACCGUGCCUUCCCCAUGCAGGACGCAGACGGCGGUUUCGAAGGGUCUUGGACUUGGCACCUAUCAGGCCCGCCAUCAAUUACUCGAAGCAUGAGGUAUCGUAGGAUCCAAGCAAGCCUAUUGCUGAACCACGUAGGAGGACAGCUGCUUCGGUACUCAGCUGACUUCAGUUUAUUGCAAGAAGUUGAAUAUAGCUGGUGUGCUACAGUCCAUGGCGUCGCGGAGUCAGACAUGACUUAGUGAGUGAACAACAAUUAUUGUAAGAUGUCGAAUAUAGUUCCCUGUGGUAUACAG